CAUCUAACUCUCCCUCCCAGAGAGGGACUCCAGUGAGAGCCUGGGGUUUUGGAAGGUCAGGCAGGCCAGGGCUGCCCUGGAUUGCUGGCUGGGCAUAGAGUCAGUAUGCCCAUAGUGUCAAAGGAUAAAACAGGACCAGUAAUCAGCAACUUAGGAAGCUGCAUCAAAAGGACAAGCCAACUAUCCAAGCAGCGAUUUCAACCAUCGCGCACAGAAUGGAUGUUUCCUGCCCCUUGAGAAAGUAUCUAUAGCUUUCACAACCUCAAAAUGGAUCUUGUAGCCGGGCCGAGCUUCACGCCUGUGACGAUAAGGGUGUACCUAAAACCCCAGCGAUCUCAGUAACCUGGAUGUUGAAGCAGGAAGAUCAUGAGUUCGAGGGUAACCUCUGGCAUGUCAGCUGCCCGAGACUUUGACUCUUUUAAUAGACGUAAACACCACUGCUCUCAAACUAUUAAGUUGUUUUGUCCUCUCCCUAGCCUUUAACCACCAUAUAGCCAACCACUCCCUAAUCCACCCACAGCUCAUACCAGGGGAUAAUGAGACCUCAAAGGAACACGACAAUGUAAGAUUCAAAGAAAUGCUGAGAAUGAGAACAAGAAGAGACUGUACUGUAAACAUUUUAUGUCCAGCUCAGCCCUCCUUGAACCUGGGUCAGGAGCCUGGCAAGGUCAGGGGAAAAACUCGGAAAGAAUUGAGUGAAAUAAAGGCUGCGCGUGCAAAAUCGCUGGCUGCUAGUGGCGCAGGAGAGGAGCACUCAGCUCGUGGGUGGGGAUGGAAGAGAAUAGGAGAGAAACCACAGCACCUCAAUGUCCCUGGCAGCCGCUAGAGUCAGACUCCGCACGGUUCCUACAGCAGAAGCCAGAAACCCUGCCCUGCAGCCACGGUGCCUUUGACGGACAGCUACCUACAGCAAUCGCUUUCCAGUUCACUAUAAACAUCCUUACUCUUCCCGCCUUCCGCUGUCCUCCCAACCAUUCCAGGGAAUGGGCGGGAUUGUCCUUCGUG
ensembl:lncRNA